UACCCCGUGGUGUAAUCGGUAACACUGCAGGUUUUGAUCCUGCCAUUCUAGGUUCAAGUCCUAGCGGGGUAGC
rnacentral:tRNA from 1 species